GCGCGAGUGGUGGAAUGGCAGACACGCCAGGUUUAGGUCCUGGUGCCUUCGGGCGUGGGGGUUCAACUCCCCCCUCGCGCA
rnacentral:tRNA from 1 species